rnacentral:rRNA from 1 species
GAUGAACGCUAGCGGCGUGCCUAAUACAUGCAAGUCGAGCGAACAGACCAUGGGCUUGCUCCUCUUACGUUAGCGGCGGACGGGUGAGUAACACGUGGAUAACCUACCUAUAAGACUGGGUUAACUUCGGGAAACCGGAGCUAAUACCGGAUAAUAUAUUUAACCGCAUGAUUCAAUAGUGAAAGACUAUUUUUCUAUCACUUAUAGAUGGAUCCGCGCCGCAUUAGCUAGUUGGUAAGGUAACGGCUUACCAAGGCAACGAUGCGUAGCCGACCUGAGAGGGUGAUCGGCCACACUGGAACUGAGACACGGUACAGACUCCUACGGGAGGCAGCAGUAGGGAAUCUUCCGCAAUGGGAGAAAGCCUGACGGAGCAACGCCGCGUGAGUGAUGAAGGUAUUCGGAUCGUAAAACUCUGUUAUUAGGGAAGAACAAAUGUGUAAGUAACUAUGCACGUCUUGAAGGUACCUAAUCAGAAAGCAACGGCUAACUACGUG